AUUGAACGCUGGCGGCAGGCCUAACACAUGCAAGUCGAACGGUAACAGGAAGAAGCUUGCUUCUUCGCUGACGAGUGGCGGACGGGUGAGUAAUGUCUGGGAAACUGCCUGAUGGAGGGGGAUAACUACUGGAAACGGUAGCUAAUACCGCAUAACGUCGCAAGACCAAAGAGGGGGACCUUCGGGCCUCUUGCCAUCGGAUGUGCCCAGAUGGGAUUAGCUAGUAGGUGGGGUAACGGCUCACCUAGGCGACGAUCCCUAGCUGGUCUGAGAGGAUGACCAGCCACACUGGAACUGAGACACGGUCCAGACUCCUACGGGAGGCAGCAGUGGGGAAUAUUGCACAAUGGGCGCAAGCCUGAUGCAGCCAUGCCGCGUGUAUGAAGAAGGCCUUCGGGUUGUAAAGUACUUUCAGCGGGGAGGAAGGGAGUAAAGUUAAUACCUUUGCUCAUUGACGUUACCCGCAGAAGAAGCACCGGCUAACUCCGUG
rnacentral:rRNA from 1 species